rnacentral:lncRNA from 1 species
CUUACCAGUGAGUGGGAAGUUAUUUUCUGUAUAUACCUAUAUACUACAGACUUUUCCCAGAAAUUGAAUUUAAAUGAAAGUAUGUUUUAAAAUGCCAUGCAUACCUAUUAUAUGAAAUAUAUGAACUAGUAUUUGAUGCAUAUAUGUUAAAUGGUGCUGUGGACGCACAUGUGAGUAUCAGGUGAGUUUUAUGUUGUUCAUGUGAUUUAUUGUUUGAUGUGAUUUAUGUUGAGAGCUCAUAACCUGCAUCCCUGGUGUUAGUGCUUAUAUUAUUCACACCGCACCACACGCUCACCUUGGAUCCAAGUAGGUGCAUGUCGUAUAGAUCACUAGAGGUGGUUCCGACAUGUCGUACAUACC